GCGCGCCGCGGCCCGAGCCCCGAGCCGGCCGGGUCCCCACUCCUCAAGCCCAAGUGGCCAGGAUUGGCUUAUUGAAGAUGGAUAUAAAGCACUGGAAAGAAAUCAUUUCUUGCACUUUAUGAAUCUAUUUUUAAAAUAAAGAAUGUAAACAUCUUUAAAUCUUUUCGCUCCUCACAAAGGAAAGGAGUAUUUUGCCUACCGUUUAGUUUGCUGCAGCAAGAGAUUUGGACCCUGAAAGCAGAGGCCUUCUCACAAAAAUCGUUCACAUCCUUGGGACAACCUCGAGGCAGAUAUCAUCUGGGGACCAUUGUGGGUCAUAUUUCUUGAUGUGGUCAGAAAAAAUAGGAGCUGUGGCAAAUGGCUGAAGUAAACAUUAUAGAUGUAAGAUAUUUGCACUUUGAAGAAUGAAAGUUUGCUGCGAGGGUUGAGUGUAAAACUUCCUCAUGUGUUAAUGUGGAAUGUACAUGUGAAAGAGAAACCUUUGACUAGAGUUUAAUGAUAAAUGCCAAUCAUAUCAAGUGA